GAUGAACGCUGGCGGCGUGCCUAAUACAUGCAAGUCGAGCGAACGGACGAGAAGCUUGCUUCUCUGAUGUUAGCGGCGGACGGGUGAGUAACACGUGGAUAACCUACCUAUAAGACUGGGAUAACUUCGGGAAACCGUAGCUAAUACCGGAUAAUAUUUUGAACCGCAUGGUUCAAAAGUGAAAGACGGUCUUGCUGUCACUUAUAGAUUGAUCCGCGCUGCAUUAGCUAGUUGGUAAGGUAACGGCUUACCAAGGCAACGAUGCAUAGCCGACCUGAGAGGGUGAUCGGCCACACUGGAACUGAGACACGGUCCAGACUCCUACGGGAGGCAGCAGUAGGGAAUCUUACGGAAUGGGCGAAAGCCUGACGGAGCAACGCCGCGUGAGUGAUGAAGGUCUUCGGAUCGUAAAACGCUGUUAUUAGGGAAGAACAUAUGUGUAAGUAACUGUGCACAUCUUGACGGUACCUAAUCAGAAAGCCACGGCUAACUACGUG
rnacentral:rRNA from 1 species